rnacentral:rRNA from 1 species
UACGUAGGCAGCAAGCGUUGUUCGGAAUUACUGGGCGUAAAGAGCGUGUAGGCGGCUAGGUAGGUCCGUUGUGAAAACUCGAGGCUUAACCUCGAGACGUCGAUGGAAACCAUCUAGCUAGAGUCCGGAAGAGGAGAGUGGAAUUCCUGGUGUAGCGGUGAAAUGCGCAGAUAUCAGGAAGAACACCCGUGGCGAAGGCGGCUCUCUGGUACGUGACUGACGCUGAGACGCGAAAGCGUGGGGAGCGAACAGG